UAAUCUGCCAUAAGGCGGAGGAUAACCUCGGAAACCUGAGGGUAAUACUCCAUAGGGAAUGCAAUCUGGAAUGAUGUAUUCCAUAAACGUAAGGUCUUAUGAUGAGGUUGCGGUGGAUUAGGUAGUUGGUAGGGUAACGGCCUACCAAGCCUUUGAUCCAUACGGGCCUUGAAAGAGGUAGCCCGGAGAGGGACACUGAGAUACUGGUCCCAGCCCUACGGGGUGCAGCAGGCGCGAAACCUUCACAAUGCACGAAAGUGUGAUGGGGGAACUCAGAGUGCUUAUGCUUUAUGCAUAAGCUUUUGCCGACUCAAAAUUUGUCGGAGAAUAAGUGGUGGGCAAGACUGGUGCCAGCCGCCGCGGUAACCCCAGCGCCACGAGUGGGAAUCGGUAUUAUUGGGUCUAAAGCGUCCGUAGCAGGUCUGCUAAAUUGCCUGUGAAAUCGCGCAAGUCAACUGUGCGGAAUGCAGGUAGGACUGGCAGACUAGAGACUGGGAGACGUUGGAGGUAUUCAAAGGGGAGCGGUAAAAUGCGAGAAUCCUUUGAGGACCACCUGUUGCGAAGGCGUCCAACAAUAACAGGUCUGACUGUGAGGGGCGAAAGCUAGGGGAGCGAACCGGAUUAGAUACCCGAGUAGUCCUAGCCAUAAACGCUGUGAGUUAGGUGUUGCGCAAUCUUCGGGAUUGCGCAGUAUCGUAGUGAAGACGUUAAACUCACCACCUGGGAAGUACGGCCGCAAGACUGAAACUUAAAGGAAUUGGCGGGGGAGCACUACAAGGGGUGCGACGUGCGGUUUAAUCGAACAACGCCGAGCAUCUCACCAGAGGCGACGGCAGGAUGAAAGACAGUCUAAAGGGCUUUCUUGACGAGCCGAGAGGUAGUGCAUGGCCGCCGUCAGCUCGUAUCGUGAGAUGUCCUGUUAAGUCAGGUAACGAGCAAGAUCUGCACCUAUAAUUGCGAACGGUUGUUAUACAGUCGAGCACAUUAUAGGGACUGCCUUGGAAACAAGGAGGAAGGCGCAGGCAACGGUAGGUCUGUAUGCUCCGAAUCUUCUGGGCUACACGCGCGUAACAAUGGUUAGGACAAUGGGAUGCAACUCCGAAAGGAGAAGCUAAACCUCGAAACCUAAUCUUAGUCUGGAUUGAGGGUUGUAACUCACCCUCAUGACAUCGGAAUCCCUAGUAAUCGGUCCUCAUCAUAGACCAGUGAAUAUGUCCCUGCUCCUUGCACACACCGCCCGUCAAACCAACCGAGCAUACUUUAAGUGAGCUUCAUCUGCUUGGAUGCAUCAAACUUAAGGUAAGUGAGGUGGGUUAAGUCGUCACAAGGUA
rnacentral:rRNA from 1 species